GCUCGCCGCGCCGGUCGGCGUCGUGCAGAUCGUCGAGGCGAUCGCGUCGUUCUCGCUCGCGGGCGGCCGGAUGCGCCGGCUGCGCUACAUGGUCGAACGGUUCCGCAAGGCGGGCGCAUGCCGGGUCGUCGAGUAUCGCGCGCCGGACCCGGACGUCGCGCGCGAGAUCCGGCGCGUCAUCUGCGCGUGGAGCGACGCGAAGAAGGUCGUCAACAACGUCGACAUCGUGCUCGGCGAGAUGGCCUCCGGCAGCCUGCACGAGCGCUAUCGCGUGUUCCUGACCUACCUCGACGACGUGCUCCAGAACGUGAUCAUGAUCGCGCGGGACGGCGACGGCUACCUGAUGGACCAGGAAUACUACGUCGCCGACAUGCCGCUCGGCGGCACCGAGUACGCGGUGACGGAGAUCCUCGCCGCGCUCGCCGCGGAGGGCCGCGAGCGGUUCAGCCUCGGCCUGACCUGGGGCCUCUUCGACACCGGCGAAGGCUCGAGCGAUCCGGCGGCGGACGCGUUCCUCGCGUCCACGCAGACUCAACUGCGGCGUAUCUUCGAGCGCGGCGCGGCGAACCGGCAGUACAAGAGCAAGUACGGCACCCGCGAUCACGCGGUCUACCUGUACCGCCGGCCCGGCAAGCCGGAGCCCGCGAUCGUCGGCUGCCUGAGCCAGUUCUACCGGAAAGGCCUCACGCAUCACGAAGUACGGCGCCUCGCCGGCCUGGCCGAUGCGCCCGUGCCGGUCGCCGCGCCCGCGACAGUGCCGCAGGCCACGCCCGCACCCGCGCCGGUGGCUACGCCCACUGCCGACGAACGCGCGUACGACGUGACCCGCAUCGAUGCGGCGACGAUCCGUGUCGAUCUCGUCAGCGAUUCAUGGGCGCACGUCGACUAUCCGUUCAUGCGCGCGCGCGCCGCGACGCUCGAUCGGCACGCGCCGCCCGCGCGCGGGGGCGAUCCCGGCCGCGCGGUCGCCGAGCUGUUCGGAUUCGCGCAAUGCCUGCUGACGACGUCGGGGCGCGCGGCCGAGCACCUGUUUUUCCGCGCGCGGCGCUCGGCGCGCACGCGCGUGCCGCAGAACCUGUUGUUCGAAUCGACGCUGCACAACCUCGUGAAAAGCGGUUUCGAGCCCGUCGAGCUUCCCGACGCGCGCGCGCUCGAUCCCGACUCGCGCGACCUGUUCCGCGGCGGCGUCGAUCUCGCCGCGCUCGAUCGCGAGCUGCAGGCGCACGCGGACGCGACCGCGAUGGUGAUGCUGGAGCUCUGCAACAACGCGUCGGGCGGCUAUCCCGUCGCGCUCGCGCAGAUUCGCGCGAUCGCCGCCGCGUGCCGGCGGCACGGCGUGCCGCUCGUGAUGGACGUCACGCGGAUCGUGAAGAACGCGGAGCUGAUCCGGCGCGGCGAGGC
rnacentral:rRNA from 1 species